AUUGGUAUGAGCUUUCAUGUGCAUGCACACUUCUUCAGAUUGUUUCUUCUUCUGUUUCAGUGUAUCUGAAGAAGUGUACAUGCACACGAAAGCUCAUACCAAU